rnacentral:rRNA from 1 species
UACGGGGGGGGCAAGCGUUGUUCGGAAUUACUGGGCGUAAAGGGCUCGUAGGCGGCCAACUAAGUCAGACGUGAAAUCCCCAGGCUCAACCUGGGAACUGCGUCUGAUACUGGAUGGCUUGAAUCCGGGAGAGGGAUGCAGAAUUCCAGGUGUAGCGGUGAAAUGCGUAGAUAUCUGGAGGAACACCGGUGGCGAAGGCGGGUCUCUGGGCAGUAACUGACGCUGAGGAGCGAAAGCGUGGGGAGCGAACAGG